AGAGCCUGGCGACGUGACUGCUGCGGGACAGUCUCUUUUAAAAAAUUCAACCAGGACCAUUUUAGGUGGUGAAGGAAGAAUCAGAAGUCUUUAUUAUCCUCCUCGUGAUUCUUAAAGGCAUAGUGAUCAAGUCUUCAUCCUGCGUCACACAGAAAAGUGGGGAUUUCUGUUUGGAUUAAGGAAGAGGAGGGACAUACACUGAAAACUUUCCAGGCCCCGAGCACUGUCCAUAGUUUCAUUUCCUUUCUCAGUUGUCACCACAAUCAGCUUACUUCAAGGGUGGCGGGCAGGGUUAGCUGUGGUCUCCAAGGAGAAAAUGAGGAAAUGGAAGCCAAGGAGAAAAUAAGAAGGAAAUAAGGAGGAAAUAAGGAACUCACUUCGCAACAAGGAAGAAAUCCAUAUUUGAUACCCACUUUGUCUGAAACAAAAGCCCAUAAUUUUCCCAUAACAACCAAAGGUAAUGAGUGAACUUUGCUUGCGUGAUAGAUCAAAAAAACUAUAGCGUAGCAGGGACCAUUGUGGCUCAGUGGCUUAAGAACGCAGGUUCGAUCCCUGGUCCCACUCUGUGGGUUAAGGAUCUGGCGUUGUCGUGUACUGCGCUGCAUCUGGGACCUACACCCCAGUUCAUGGCAACGCCCCAGGUCCUUAACCCACUGAUCGAGGCCAGGGAUCAAACCCAAAACCUCAUGGUUCCUAGACGGAUUUGUUUCUGCUGCGCCACGACAGGAACUCCAGAAUCUGAGGCUUCUAACCUGGGCAGCUAGGCUGAGGUUGGCUCCCAUGGAGGAACUGGCCAGGGAGCCAGUUUGGACAUGAAAGGUGGGAUUUCUCACACCAGUGCCAGGCUUGAGAUGAUGUCGGUACAUCCAGGCUGUGUGUCCUCGGGACAGUUUCAAAUAAAGGGCUGAGCACAGGGAGCACAUCGCGUCUUGGGGUAUAUGUUCCUGAAAGCCAUUUGACAUUCGGUAUCAAGGCCUUAAAUGUCAGUACACUUUGACCCCAUAAUUCUAUUUUGAGAAUUAUACCCUAAAGAAAUAAAUGUUUUCUCUAUACCUGGUUAUGUACAAGCUUUCACAUUGCUGCAGUAAAUAAUCGAAAUUUUCAGCAAUAAAGGAUCAAGUAAUUUAUAAUAUAUUCAUACAAGGGACUAUUACAUGUCAUUAAGAUUUCCCAAGAUUUCAUCAAUGACAAGUGUAAAACAUUUAAGGCACGUGAGAAAGAAGAGGAUAAAAUCGACAUAGGAUAAUAUACUUUUAAAAAAAGUCAAUGCCACAUAAAAUAGAAAGGCAGGAAAUUACAUCAGAAUAGCAGUGCUAAUAAUAGUUAUCUUUGGCCUUUGAGACUUUGAUUUUUAUUUUAUUUAUACUUUCCCGUAUUCUGAGCAUGGGCAGAGGCUCUGAAGGUAGGGAUGAAGGGUUGAACCAGGCUGGUGAGAAGAAGAGGAUUUGGGCCAGUGGAGAGCACAUAUAUAAGGGGGAACAGGCUUUGGGGGGAGUGGGGGUGUCAGCUUCCUGCCAGGGCUUCUCAGCCCCAGGGGCUUCCAGGGGCUGGCGGCCUGCUUUCUCUGUCACUGCCACCAGGAUGUCCACCAGAGUUUCCCUGCUCUCUGGACCACUGGGAAUGGAAACAGUCUCACAGGUGUGCGGCAUUCCUGACUUUUGCUGGAGUUUUUGCUGCAAGUAGCAAAACAUUAUAAAGUUCUCUCCUAAGAAAUGCCUGUGUUAUAAUGCUUUGUGGCGGGGAAAAAAAGAUCGGAAUACCCUCAGUUGUUUACUUCCUGCUCUCCACUAUAAACAAAUAAAAGGGCAAGACUGGGAGCUCCCUUGGGGCACAGCCAGUGAAGGAUACAGCAUUGCCUCUGCAGUGGCUCUGGUCGCUACUGUGGCCAGCUUCGAUACCUGACCCAGGAACUUCCAUAUGCUAAGGGCAAGGCAAAAAAAAAAAAAAAAAAAAAA
ensembl:lncRNA